CACACCUGGGGGGGUCACCUGUCACACCUGGGGGGGUCACCUGUCCCACCUGCAGGAUAACAUCCAGCACGCUGACCCACCUGUGCAGGUGAGACUCAUUGACACACACCUGGGGGGGUCACCUGUCCCACCUGCAGGACAACAUCCAGCACGCUGACCCACCUGUGCAGAUCCUGUACAACCGCACGAUGGUCCAGCUGGGCAUCUGCGCCUUCCGCAGGGGCUGAUCAAGGACGCCCACA